rnacentral:lncRNA from 1 species
AGCAAAGUCGCCGCGACUCGCUCGCCCUAUCUUGGCUGUUAUGAUCAAUCUCAUUCGAUAUGGAUGUAUCGAAGUAGUUUGAUUUCUGCGGUGUGGGGAGCCAUUCAAAUUCGCUUAGGUCGUUUCGGCUUCUCUGUGGCACCUAAUCGUUUGACUAUUCGUCUCUGGAGGUCACGUUCUUCCAUUCAUUUCUCAACCACCAACAAUCUCAAGCAGAAAAUCGAGAUUUCAUUGUAACUUGAUGUGCUCGUGAUCUCAAAAAGUUAAGAAUGAAACGAAACAUACUCAUUGACAUGAUUUAUAUGUACCAUACAAUCUUCUCUUUUUUCCCUUCUGCAAAGAAAGGUAGAUCCAGAAAAAACCACCCCAAGAUUAAACACGAGAGACCCAAAAGAAAGGAUACUUUCUACGUGGUGAUUCUGCAAGAAAGAGUUCCCAAGGUUGGAGGCUGAUCAAUAGCUUGCUGUCUACAAGGCCAGACCAGAGCUUCCAAGCUCCUCAAUUGACUCGUGAGCUGCUUAUAAACGGCGAGUCUCACUUUCGAAAUCAUCAGCGCCACCCUCUUCCUUGACGUCUUCAACCGCCGCCCAAUCUUCACCUUCAACCGGCAGAACCUCACCCUCAGGAGCGAAGGCCUCCUCUGAGCAUCGGCUCCUUCCAACACCUUGUAGAUCAGGAACUGCGCUUUCCGAUGCUUUUUCUCUUCCAGGUCCUCGAAAUCCAUCCUUGUGUAUGCAUGCGGCUUCUUGAAAAGGGCCAUUGUCGAUCCUGGGAAUCGAGAUUUUGGGUUGAAUUUGGCAAUAAAGAGGUUGAAGAGAAGGUAGUGUGUUUUGGAGGAGUGGAAACCAGGGGAGGGAGACCAGCUGGCUUUUAUAGAAUGUGUUAGGAAUUGAUGAAGGCACAAUGCGUGUCCACUCAUGUUCGUCAGGAUAAAUCAUAAAAUGAGUAGAGAAAACACAAGUAACUUGGAGUGAAAAUCUUACAUCAUUUGAGGUCUAAAAUUUGACCAAAAAUUUAAUCACAAGAUAAAUUUGAUGUUGAUUGGAUGAAUCAUGUGCACUCAAUAGGCGCUCUUUUUUCUUCUUCCGAGUUUUUUUAAUGGGUCUAAUUUUUCCGGAUGAAAAGUAAUGAAACGUAUAUUAAGAAAACCGAUCUAAAAAGCUGUCUUUAUCAAUAAAGCAAAUCCCUACUUGGGUGUCAAUACACAUAACUCGUUUAUUCAAAUGCUCUCAUAUGGUCUGUUGCAUUGCUUGAUAUCUCAAUUUUGUUCAUCAGGUUUAAAAUAACAAUUACAGUCAUCCACAUUUACUAACAACGUAAACACAUAAAAUCAUAAGAUUAAAAAGAACUUAUAAAAUAUUGUCAAUGACACAAAUGAUAUUGAAUUGGAGUGGUAUGUAUGUGGAGGAAACUAUGAAUCCAAUACUCUCCAGCUGUAGACCCCCUAAGUGGAAAUUGAACCUGUCCGGCCCAAGACGGCACUCACUUUUAUUUAUUUAUUUAUUUGCGUUUGCUUUGUCCCUUUUUUUUUAUGAAUUAUGUCUAACUAGUAGAGUUGGAAGCAAAGUAAAAAAGGCAGGCAUGAAAGUUUCAUUCUGGAGAAAAUAUUUUCGAGAUAUAUUCCAUAGAACGGUGCCAAUCACUUUUCGAGAAAUUAUGAGAUUCAUAAUUUAUGUCUCGAUUAAAAUAAAUAAAAACCACACACGCAUAUAUAUAUACAAGCUACCUGCAUGCAAUUGAUCUGAUCGUCCACGUCGCCAAUAAUGCGUAACCCUGUACACUUGUUUUUUUUCCACGCGAAUUAAAUUAAUCUUAGGAAGAGUGUGCGUGUCAACUAGUCCGUUCAAAUUGCCAAAUCCUUCGGAUAGCCAAUGUGAUAUCAACUAAGCAAGGAGGUAUUUGGCCCGGGCGGCCUGCAACUCCCACCUAUUCCAACAACAUUUAUUUACUAAUUUUAUUCAUUUAAGCUAUAUUAUAAAGUGUAUCAAGUAGCGACAACUUCUUGUCGAUUGGAAUUACGACAAACCCAUAAUUAGAUAACAAUAGUAGUCCUAGAAUUAAACUUAGGUAGGCUAGAAAAAAAAAUGAAAAACAGGUAAGGUUCCUGAUGUUAGUCCAACAUGGUCGGAAAGAGCCUAUUCAUACACCUAUGUCAAUCGCACCGUCCUAAAUAAGUUUCGCAUUGAAAAAUAAAGAGUUUAGAUAUAACUAUUCACAGAUAGGGAAGGGACGGAUCAAAGCCAAAUCUCAAUUUAUUAACAAGAGCCAAGACUGCGCUGUACUCUAUGAUCGACUUCAUAGACUUGUUUAAAAUGAGUCCAAGCAAUAUUUUCCUUCUAACAUUUUAUGUCAGUCUCAUUUUUUAGUAAACCUAUGCUAAGGUAAGACGAUACGAAAAAUAUAUGGUUGUUGUUUCAAAGUGCACGCAUCAACAUGACGUUAGUCUAAUCGAAGUUAGAACUGAUGUAGAAAGGGUGGGCAAGAGCACGCGUGCAUGUCCAUAACAUCAACAGCUAAACAUUUUAUAUUAAAAUACGCAAAUCAUUGACGUUCGCUUCAUUCUUCUAGUUCAAAAUAAAUUAGUAAAUAUAUAUAAGUGUUGUUUAACUUGAGGGGAACGGGAUCAUGCGCAGCAAUCAUCGAAAGGCGAUGAUGAAGUUGACAUUCUUAAAAUUUUUCUCUUGGCUUCCAUUAAUUAGAAAAACCGUCACCGAAUAAUUCUAAAUGACGAGUUUUCAAGUGGUUUCUUGAAGGUCUCUCUCUCUAUUUUUUUUUCUUAUUUUUUUAGCUUUUUUAUUAUUAUUAACGCAACUCGAAAACGUAACGUGAAAAAUUCAUUGCCUCAACCCUUUGACUUUUAAUUUCUAGGGGUCUUCAAAGAACACGCUCAGCCAUGAGUAGGAGGAAAGAGUGCGGGCCGGUGUUAGGGUUUUCGGAUGAGGUGUAGUUUUGAAAAUAAAAUGACAGAUUUGGUAAAUUACGUGUGGGUGAGAGAUAUGGCUCAAAAUCUUUUGUAGUUAUGGCGAGACCGAUGGCGAGGUCAUGCAAGCUUGGCUUAAGCUCGCAUGAGAUUGGGCUCGAGCCGGCAAGGGCCACGGCCUGCGUGAGCCUCUGCAAUAGGCUCGUGAGCCACGCGAGCUCUUCAGCCGAAGCUCGGCCAUGGCCGCCGGAUCUAGGUCGUUCAAGCUCCAUUUGGCCUUGAGCCGGCAUGGCACCAGCCUUCAGAUUAACAAAGGCAGUGCGCGCAGUGAAUCGGGGAGAGAAAUGCCGGAGGGUGUGUCGAACCAAGUAAGCCUCUUCUCGUGUGAGAGGAGAGACCGUGGGCGAGCAUUGGGUUUUUCGGACGUGGUGUAGUUUUGAAAAAUGAGAAUUUGGUAAAUUACGUCUAGGUAAGAAACUUAAGUUUAAAUCUAUGGUAAAAAAACGAGGAUUGUAAUUGUAGAUUGCACAGUAUGGUGGUGGAUGGUAUUUGAUAUGGGAAGUAAAAUUGAAGACGAUUUUCGUAACAUCUCCCUAGUGUUAAGUAUAUAAAGAAUAUUUAUUAGGUCCUUUGUCAAAGUAACAAAAAUUUUUAUGCACCUAUCGUUCGAUGAUUGACAUAUGUACUUACAAAUAAUAAUGUAAUCAAAUUCUUCCAUGUGUCGAUCAUUUGAGAGUGAAUGUGUAGAUCAAUUCUUACACCGACACCUGACCUGAUAAAAAUCCCAUUAUGUUAUAUUGUAUGAUAUCCAAUAACAAGUGUCUAAUUUGGUGUUCAAGUGGUGACAUUUUAGCUUAGGCGUUAUUGAAGAUGUCGUGGGGCGGUUGGAUAAGAAUGAUGCACCUAACCUGUUUGGGAUUUUGUGCAGAAAGUUCCCAUUUUUUAAUUCACCAGUAAUAUAGAUCGAUUCCAUCAUUUAGUACGUACACUUCCUCGAAAAAAAAGAAAAAUAAGCCACAUCAUCUUUUAGAAGGAUGACAAAUUCAGCAUUAUAUUUUGAAAUUAUGAAUUUUAUUGACUCAAAUAUAUAACAGGUUUAAUUGUAUAGUAAAGUCGUAAAUUUACAUUUUAAGAAAUUAUUUCGUAUUUCGAUUUAUUGGAAGAAUCCUCUACUUUUUUUUUUUUUUGUCGAAAAUAAGACUUACUUUCAGUUAAAACACGGAUUACAAAUAGACGGUAAAUAGACUUCAGAACAUAAAAUAUUCAGAAGGGGUUGAGGUGGUGCAUCUAACCAAUUUGUAGGUAAAGUCUUACGGCGAUGCGCCUUGGCGGUCCAAUCAGCUGCGUUGUUUGCGUCGCGGGAGCAGUAGGUGAGAGUGACGAAUGACAUCUUCUGAAGGAGCUCUUUGAUUUCGGUCACUAAAUGCAUAAUAGCCCACGGUGCAUCAGCCCGGCCCAAACUGGCCUCCACGAGUGCAUUAUUGUCGCACUGUACUUCCCAGCUUUUGUCUUCAAACUGAACAGCCCCCUCUUGACUUUCUGUUCGUUUGUUUAGAGAGUUCAACGCGUGCAAGAGUGCUAGGGUUUCGGCGUGCAGAGGGGAGGCCGCCCGAAUUUCAGCUACAAAUCCGUCGAUCAAUAAUCCAUUCGAGUCCCGGAUGAGCCCUGCAACCGAACCUAGUUCUUCUCCAUCAUUCCACGAGCAAUCGACAUUCAGCUUGAAGCUGGUGCUGUUCGGAGCCGUCCAGUGCUCUGUUGCGGCUGACUUGCUGGAUUUCUGCUUGACUUUCUUGCGGUUCCAUCUAAGGAAGGCUCGGGUCUGUGUGUGGGCAAGAUCUACAAUUGAUUCAGUCUUGGGAACUCAAGAUCUGAAGAUGUAAUCGUUUCUGAGUUUCCAUAUCAACCAGAUCGUGUUUGCCACCAGAUCUGCCGAAGGUACCUCUGUUCUCACCGUGGUUGGGCGAGAGGGCAGACCUCGCCGAUGGCCUAGCGAGGCUUGCCUGGCCACUUAGGCCACCGGCGAGACCGAGCCUCACGGUGCUCACCAAGCCACUGGGAGGCUCAGCCUCACUAGAUUUGGGCGAGGCCAAGCCUCAGCCUCGUCGAUGAUUAGGCGAGGCCAAGCCUCAACCUUGCCGGUGGUCAGGUGAGGCUCCGGCGAGCUCACCGGCCCUCACCCAGCCAGUUGUCGGCUGCCAGCGACGGGCCACAAAGAGGAAGAAGGAGAGAAAAAAAAAAAAGGAAAAUAUAAUAAAAAUAUUUAAAAAUUAAAAGAAACAACAAAAUUAUACAAUUUUACCAAAUGCAUUUCUUUCUAGGGAAUAGAAAUUUUUUGCAGUUAUCAAGCACAUUCUUAUACUCAAAAUUUGUUCCCGGAAACAAAAAUAAAUAAAUAAAUAAAUAAAUAAAAACUAUUUCUAUUCAAAAAUUGUUCCCUAAAAUGGAAGCGUUACCAAACGUGCCCCAAAUAGCACCAACACGCGACACGACAUGACACGACACGACAAGCAACACGUUGUUUCUCAAAAAAUAUAGAAUUUCGACACAUUGAGACACGUUGUAUAUUAAAUAUAUAUAUAUAUAUAUAUAUAUAUAUAUAUAUAUACAUAACAAAUUGUCAUUUUUAUGAUUAUUUCAAUCAAAUUAAUUUGAUUAAAAUUCAUAAAUAAAUAAAUAAUAAAAAGUCUAGAAUGAAUUUAAACUAAAAAUAUUGAUCUACCAUUUAUUAGUAUCAUUCUUUGUUUCAAUUUAACAAAUCCAACUCCAUUCCAAUAAUUCAUAAUAUUUGGGAGAGAAGUACACUAUCAAUGCCAUAAGUUGUGUAUGGCGCUCACUUUGGUGCCAAAAGUUUCCGUCAAAUCACUUAAGUGCCAAAUCGGAGGUAAAACGAUCACUUUGGUUCCACCAGCGAAAGAUUCCAGCCAAAAUGAUUACGUGACUUUUUAAUUAAAAAAAUCGAAAAGGCCUUAAACGAUGUCGUUUUGCCGUCCUACAUGGAUGGCCUCACAAAAACGACACCGUUUAAUUCAUUUGGGAAUUUUUUUUUAUUUGGGGAUUGAAAUUAGGGUUUCGUCGCUCAGCCUCCGCUGUUGCUGGGCCACCAUCGCUCGCUUAGUCGCCAUUGCUCAGCGCUGUUCGGACGCCCUUGAUGGCACACAAGGGAGCACCAACCUCAGUCGCCGGAGCCUAGGUACUAGAAGACGUAGGCCAAGCACUCGUCAAGGAGAUCAAAGAUAGAGAGGGAGACAUCAAUGGCGGCGCACUCAUCGGUAGCCUCCCCGAGCACCGGCUAGAUCAUGGCCUUCAACUUGGUUGUCGAGUGGCCGUCGUCAGGGUUGGGGUCGGGGUCGGGGUCGGGGUCGAAGCCACGUCCGCCGAGUAGCCAUCGUUGGGGUAGGGGUCAGGGCCAGAGCCACAGCCGUUGAGUGGCCAUCGUUGGGGUCGGGGUCAGGGUCAAAGCCGCAGCCGCCGAGUGGCCAUCGUCAAGAUAGGGGUCAGGGUCGGAGUCGCGGCCAUCGAGUGGCCAUUGUCGCGGUCGGGGUCGGAGCUACAGUCGCCGAGUGGCCAUCGUCGAGGUUGGGGUCAAGGUCGGAGCCACGGCCACUGAGCGUGAGGGCCGUCGAGGACAGCGAACGGCGUCGUUUUGGUGUUAGGAUGCUGAUUGUACUCUCCGACGAGCCCCAUCAACUUCAAAAAUUAAUAAAAAAGUGCCACGUCGGAUUUCCGGCCAACCGGAUCAGAGUUGGCACCAAAGUGAGCGCCGUAAACAACUUAUGACACUAAUAGUGUACUUAUCCCAAUAUUUGGAGAAGGAAAACAAGCAAUUCACAUCAUAGAUUCACCUAUUGAACAUAUCAGAAAGAAAGAGAAAAAAAAAACUUGGGGUGUGAAUUUUGUAUCAUGGGAAGCGAGAGUCAAAAGAGAAGAGAAAAUUAAGUUUUUAUUUUUUCCCCAUUUAUUAUUUUUAUUAUUUUUUCAUAUAUAUUGACCCUUCAUUUAUUAAAAAAAUUUAAAGUUGAUCUCACAUAUUGGAAUCAGAAACUUGCAUAUUGAAAUUCUAACUCGUGUGUCGAGAAAGUUGAUCAAAUGUCGAAUUUUUCGACGAGUGUUGACCGAGUGUUGAAGAGUGUCUGAGAAUGUCCGAGAAUGUCGGACACUUGUCGAAAUGUCUAAGACGACACGAAAACUUUCAGAGAGUGUCAGUGCUUCUUAGGUGGACAAUAUCCAUAGAGUUAGUCAUAAGUGCCUCUGUUGGAUGGACAUGAUUAUACCCUACAUAAUCUACAGCAACAUUCACUAAAGCCCAAGUAUCAGCAGCAAAGCACCAACAGAAAAUAUAUAUAUAUAUAUAUAAAGAGCAAAUGAUUCGUUAAUCAGCAUGCAUCAAGCUGGGAUAGGAAUGAGCUUGGGAAUUGCUUUUUCGAAAACUCAUUGAAAGGAGAAGGGGACUUUGACUUAACGUCCAUCCGUUUAAAAGUAGCUGAGUGUUAGUAAAAGAGUAUUUUCCAUGCCCACGUGCAUUAUUAAACUAUUUGUUAAUAUGAAUGAUUAGAGAUCUUUUCAAAUAUAUAUUUUCACAGAGCAAACGUUUAUGUCAAAUGGGUUGGGAAAAUAAUCGGGAUAAUGAUACAAAUAAUCUCUGAAUUUUGACACAAUAUGCAAUAUGAUCCCUAACUUUUUUAUUUAUUGAAUAUGGUCCGUAAACUUUAGCUUAGCGUUGUGACACCUAAAUUUUCGCUACCAUAUUUAAUUCUUUAUUGCAUAAGAAAAUUAGGAUUGGUCCGACCCCUAGACAAAAAUAUCAUCAACGGAAUUCAUAUACAUAUCACAUGCAAAUUAUAUGGCGCUAUGCACAGUGUUAUCAUGCACCAUCAUACGUGUGAUCAAAGAAACUUUUUAAAGAUGUGAUUGGCCACAGCGUGUUUAAACUCUGUACUCAAAACUCCUGGAAAUUCGAUCUCCAGUGGUUCAAUGGUUAUUUGCAAUUAUGAAUUCAAUUCUGUUUUGAAAUGGAGAAAAAAUCGGGAUGAAGGCUUUUAAAGAUGAGAAAUAUCCACACAAAAGCUAAUCCACAAGCUAGUUACGAAAGCAGAGGGAAAUCUAAUCGUAAGGCGUUCAAGUUUGAAAAGAGAAAACAGAUUUGCCAUUUAUCUCUGGGAUUCUCAUCAAUAAGAAGAAUUACCUCCUCUACAAAUAGAGAAACCUUAUAGGAACACGAUGGAAAUUCACGGCCAAAUGUGAGACACUAGAGAGGGAGAGAGGUUCCCCUUGGAGCAUUAUCCUGAUGGUAAAUAUACCAAGUUGAUGUCGGGGCAAGGGACAUGGAGACACAGAGGUGGCGGUGAGGGAUAAACUGUUUGAUGUAUGCCCUAAAGCUACUAUCAUAUUAGGGAUUUCAGUUAUAUUAUCAUUAUUAUUUAAUUAAUGGCAAUGACGUAUUCAUUUAUUUAUCCAAUUAUUUUAUAUUUAUGAAUGAUUCCAUAAGAUCAGUUGCAAUUAGACAUAUUCUUGAAACGUCAAGAAUAUACGUGACGAGUUCAUAGUUAGCUGAAUCUUUAAACCGUUCAUGGUCAAUGGAUUAUUAAGUGGAUAUUUAUAAUCCUGUUGAGAUCGAUGUGUUCUUAACUUCACCAUUAAGUAUUGGAUACUUAAGGGAAUGAUGAUUCGCAUGUCAUUGGGUAUUAUGAUUCCUGAGUUAGAACACAGAUGUUUGUAUUAGACAAGUUCACUGAACGUAACGCAUAUAGAACAAUUAGCAACAUGGAAGCUUUUAGCGUGAUCAAUAUCUAAUUGUUCAUGCUUUGGUCAUGUGUAAAUAAUCCUUAAAUCUGAGGCACAAUGUUAACUUGUGUGUUGAACAACUAUGGUUCACAAGUGCACAUAAUGCCAAGUCAUUGAUCUAUCUUUAUACCUAAUAGUCAUAGUUUGUUUAUAUACAAAAUUACACAUGUUCGCAAUAUGGAAUAUGUCUCUUUGUUACAUGCAACAUAUAAUAAUGAUGUCCUAUGCGAUCUAAUUAUGACACUGCAUGGAAAUCCUCGGCCGAGGUUGUAACCAAGAAUAAAUUGUUUGUGUCUUGAAUAAAAUACAUGUCAAUUAGAUUUGUGCAUAUGAUUGAAUUUGUGACUUAACAAAUAUUUCAUGGUCUUUGUUUGAUUGGGACAUGAUAAGACGGAGGAAUUGAAUUACACUGUAGCGAAAACUGACAGGGUCAUUAUGUUCUUAAAGCAUUUAUAGUAUCUAGGUAGUCAUGAAUCAUAACUUAUAGGACCCAAAGAUUAAUCGGACAAUUUAUUCUUUUUGGAGUACUAAUAUAUUAGUACAAAUCUUACUACUAGCUUAGUGAUGAACCUAGGGAUGUUACACACCAUAAACAAUUAGGAUAACGUAGAACACGAGAGAAAUAUUGUUGCAAAUCUGUUUGCAAUUACUGCAAUCGAAUUGAGUCGAUUUAAAAUUAAAUUAAAUGAGAUUUAAUUUAAUUUGUAUUAAAGUCACGAGCCUACUUACAUAUGAUGCACACACAUGCCCAAAGUGGAUACAUGUUAAUGUACCCCAAAUGUACAUAUAAAGAUUAUGUCCUUUUUAUCUUUUAUUUUUCUUUAAAGGAAUUGAUUAAGUAAUUAUUUAUUCAUUUAAUUAAUAAUCAAUCAAUAAUUUUUUUUAAUUAAUUGGGAAGCUUCAUGCAUGAACGGUUGACCGUUCAUGCACGAAGCAUCGUUCAUGCACGGUGCUUCGUGCAUGAACGAUUGACCGUUCAUGCACUAUCGUGCUUCGAAAGAUGGGGAUCAGCAACGGUUGCUGAUCCCACGAUCAGCAACCGUUGCUGAUUCAAGCAUUUUUCAUUUUAAAAUGCUGUAUUAAGGACAGAAAAUGUGGUUGCUGAAAAUAGAGUAAAAAUGUGUGUGUUCUUGUGUUUUUCGAGACGCAAGAAAGAAGAGUGUUCUCUCGUUCGGACCAUGACUAUAAUACAUUAAGGAUACGGCAAAUUGUCUCCACGAGAUUGUUAGCACGAUCAUAAUGGUGAUUAUUCAAAAGUUCUCUCUUCUAUUCGACGUUCAUUGUUGGUGUGUCUGAAUUAGAGGUCCGACGUUUGUGGGACUCGAACUAAAGAACAUCUAAAUCAAUUCGUUUAAAGUGCACUUCGAGAGGUAAUUAACAUAACUCACUUUUUAUAUUCAGAUUUUUUUAUUAAAACGUACGAACAACGCCUUCGGAGAAUUACGUAUAGAAAUAUAUUAUCUUUAUUUCCACUGUAUUUUUAUUAAUUUAGAUUCAUGAAACCCCAACACAAACACCGAGACCGAACCUUUACCGAGGCAGCUCACUGUUUGCCCAUCACGGUGAAGCCUCAGCAUUUGACCCUCGCCGCAGCCUUCGCUGUUGCGUCUCUAUUUGUCUGCCCCUGAACCUCCACUCGGUGAAUUUACCAAACAGCUGCUCUAGUGUGUCUCUGGCAUCAUCAAGAAGAAGAGCUACCACCACCGGGAACAGGGCCUUGUAAUUUUUCUUACGCAAUUCUCUUCAUUCUUGUGAUGGUUUAACAAAACUGGCAGUUUUGCAUUGAUUCUUGCGAAUUCAUCCUCGCGUCUUCUCCAUGACGAUCGAGUUGCGAGACUUUUCAUGGCACAUUACGGAAGCAACAUCGGCUUGGCGGCGUAGGGGGCUCAACUGGGCGGACCUCGGUAAGCAAUUCCCUUUUUGAGUUCCUCCGUCUCACCGAGUCUUUUUUUUUUUAUAAUUUCUAUACCCGGUGCUCGAUCCGGCCCGUUCAUUGAACAGAUCUAGGUCUCCCUUACACAAUGUUCAGGACAAAGGAAAGAUGAUGAACUGCCUUGGAGGAGCAAAAAGAUGAAGGACAAAGGAAAGAUGAUGAACUAUCUUGGAAGAUGACAUUUGAGAACAGAGAUACGCAGCAAAUUGACUGGGAGCUGAGCACGAGGCCAAACGUGAAGCCACUACGACAAGAAUUAACAGAUGUUGUAUGUACUCAAAAAAGCCAUUAAUCAUGUUGGCCUUUUUGGGACUCAUAUAUAUAAUGGUUCAAAAGGUAUCGAUCCGUACGCUCUAUAAAUCAUGUAAUAACUUCUUGAUAAACAGUAUAUAUGUAUUGUAUAGUACCUAUAUCUUAGGCAUAUUGAAUCAAUGCAAACUAUCUUGAUUGACCCAAUGUUCUUUCUAUAUCCAUGACAACCACCUACCGGGGAUGAAAUCGAUCCUUCUUAGGCAAAUUUUUAGACUUACAUGUUCUAAGCUAUUAUGAUCAAACUCAUUCGAUUCCGACAUAUCGAAGGAUUCACAAAUCCUAGAAGUUAAUAUACCGAUUUAUUUGCGUGCUAAGUAGUUUGAUUUCCAUAGUGGGACGAACUAUUCAAGUUAGUUUGGUUGUUUCUUCUUCUCUUUGGCACCUCAUCAUUUGACUAUUCGUCUCUCGGGGUCACGUACUUCAACUUCUUUUCUCAAUCACCAAGAAAAUGGAAAAGCAGAAAAUCAAGAUUCGAUUUUUAGUUUGAUGAGCUGACGAUCUCGAAAAGUCCAAACAAGAAACGAAACGAUCUUGUGGGUAUGAUUUCUAUGUACUAUAAAUAAACAUCCCUUUUCCCUUCUGCAAAGAAAGUUUAAUUCAGCAAGCACCACCCAAGAUUCCACACAACAUGAGAGACCAAAACGAAAGGAUACUUCUACGCGGUGGUUUUGCGAGAAAAAGAUUAAAAGGUUGGAGGCUGAUCAAUAACUUGGUCUCUACCAGACGAGAGCUUCCAAGCUCCUCAGUUGACUCGUGAGCUGCUUAUAAACGGCGAGUCUGGCUUUCGAGAUCAUCAAUGCCACCCUCUUCCUUGACUUCUUCAACUGCCGCCCGAUCUUCACCUUCAACCGGCAGAACCUCACUCUCAGGAGCGAAGGCCUCCUCCGAGCAUCGGCUCGCUCCAACACCUUGUAGAUCAGGAACUGCGCUUUCCGAUGCUUUUUCUCUUCCAGGUCCUCGAAAUCCAUCCUUGUGUAUGCAUGCGGCUUCUUGAAAAGAGCCAUUGUCGAUCCUAGGAAUCGAGAUUUUGGGUUGAAUCGGCAAUAAAGAGGUUGAAGAGAAGGGAAUGUGUCUUGGAGGAGUUGAAACCAGGGGUGGGAGACUAGCUGCUUUUUAUACAGCGUGUUAGGAGGUAAACAUUGCGUCGGUUGAUGAACGGCACAAUGUAUGUGCACUCAUGCCAUGUUCGUUAGGAUACAUCAUUAAAUAAGGAGAGAAACAAUGACUAAACCUGCCCUGGAAAUCUUACCUCAUUUGGGUUCUAAAGUUUGACCUAAAAUUUGAUUAUAAGAUUACAUUGAUUUUGAUUGGAUACAUCAAUGGAGACUCCACUUCAAAGAUACUGUGGGGUUCCUCAAACUCUCUUCAUCUUCCGAGUUUCUUCAAAGGGCUAAUUUUUCCGGAUAAAUGGUAAUGCGAGGUAUAUGAAGAAAAUUGAUCAAAAACGUUGUUGUCUUAAAGAUUAAGCAAAACCCUUAUUUGGGUGUUAAGACAUACAACUAUACAUUCAAAUGCUCGCAUACAAUCCGUCGCAUUGCUUGAUAUUUCAAUUUCGUGGAUCGAGCUUAAUAUAUCUGUCAUACUCAUCCACUUUUACUAAAAAUAUAAACACAUAAUAUCAUAAGAUUAAAAUGAACUUAUUAAUUAUUUUCAAUGACACAUAUAAUAUUAAAUUGGAAUAGCAUAAUGUUGAGGAAACUUUUGUUGGGAAUGACUGAUCCCCGAAAACCGGAUUCGACACUAAAUCGAACCCCUAAAUCAAUGCGGAAGACGAAGCCCGGGAAUGACACGUAUCACCGAUCCUAAAGCAUACCACGGAUUCGAGCGUACCUUGUUAGCCACAAAUUAGACAUCGACGCCGAUAGAGGAAGAGAAUUUGUUCCUUGUUCGAUCCGAUGACGCCUUGAAGGGAAGACAGUGUCGCCAUUUGCUUACUGUUUGUUUUAGGAGGGAGAGAGCGUUGGAGAGAAGAAGACGUACGUUUUUCCAAAACGUUAUCAUCUCUCUCUCUCCUCCCUUUUAUACCUUCCCCCAUCCACGGGCCCUAUUCCCGUGGGCCGGGCCUUUUGGGCCCAGCAUGGGCGGACGGGCCUUAAGCCCAUCACCAGUUAAAGCCAUCAUCUCCCACUCGCACAUGGUGGGCUGAACAGGAUUCUCUUUACAUCUCUUCAACAUUCAUACUGGUGAAUAAUCCGUGUGACCAGCAUACUUUGAGAGCUCGUUGCUAUACAUCUGUUAGGAAUAUAUAACAGCUCAUAAUGGGCAUCACAUCCUAAGUAGAUUUAGUAUGUAGUCUCCUAGAUCGAUUGAUCACAUUUAUAUCUCUCUUGAUCUCUUUUAAAUAAUGAUAUAUACAUUGUAUUCACAAUUAUGAUUAUCCCAAAGACAGUCAUAAUUGGUUAACCGGUGAAUACAAAACUACAAUAUGAUUCUCCAAAAUCGAUCUUCCUCUUUCUUUCAAACUCUCAAUUUCAGUUCAGCUUGCUUUUCUAGAAAUGUCACAUUAGAUCGAAUCAACUCAUGACCAUUGGCAACAUCCUAAGAUAGCAAACACUAAAUAGAAAUUUUGAGAAUAAGUAAGAGUCAUGAGAGGACUAAAAAUUGAGGAACUCUUUUCCUCAAGAGCCUCACAUGACAUAAAAGUUGAGAUCAAACUCUUGCCUCUCUUAUUGGUCGUCUCAUGCAUACGUAGUAUGAAACAUGUAUUACGGUAUUAACUCAUUUCCCAUGGAGCGUAUGUCUAUACAUUUUAAUACCGUACAGAUGAUAGUUCAGAUAUACCCAAUGUCUAACUUGAGUUCACUUAUCUACUCAUUCACAAAAUUCAUCAGAACUCACAUCUGGCAUCAUAGACAGAUAAAGUAAAAUAUGUGGGGUAUUUUACUUUCGGACAUAGUAAGUAUUAUGUCCUCAUCUUAACACUUAGUUAAGACGACAUACGUAUUUUAAGCUUGAGCUCUCGAUUAUCACCUAGAUAAUAAGCUUAAAAAUAGUCUCAUCUCUAUCUAUCACACAGUAAAUAGAGGCGAUUACCCGUGUGAGUGGGCUAAUCUUAUAUCUGUCCGACAUACUUCCUCAACUUAAAAAUAAUGCACUGAGCAUUAAGAUGCAUAAAGAUCAAACAAAUAUUCAUAGGCAUUAAUAAUGAAACAAUACUAGUUCAUAAAUGUGAACAACUCAGGGAAAUUACAAUCUAGUACAUCAGACUCUACACAAUCCUAGAGAUUUUACAUGACCACAAAACACAUCUCUAGGUAUUGGCUUUGUCAUAGGAUCUGCUACCAUUCUAUGCGUAGAUAUGUACUGUAAGUUCACAUCCUUUCGUGCAACCAUAUCCUUGACAAAGUUAUACUUGGUAUCUAUAUGUUUGGUCUUGCCAUGAUAUUUUGGAUCUUUGGCGUACGCUAUAACUGUUUGGCUAUCACAGUUAACCAAUAAUUGAUUUGCGGCUUUCUCAAUAACACCUAAAUGAUCCAAGAAUCUCUUAAGCCAAACUGCUUCUUGUACUGCUGCUGAUAAUGCCACGAACUCAGCUUCCAUCGUGGAUAAGGCUAUGCACGUUUGCUUCUUACUACUCCAUGAUAUGGCGCCAUUGCUUAGUAAGAAAACAAAUCCUGAGGUAGAUUUUCUUUCAUCUAAAUCUCCUCCCCAAUCAGCAUCUGAAUAGCCUUCAAGUCGCAGAUCCUUUCCUUGGUAAUUCAACUUGUAAUCAGCAGUUCCCUUCAGAUACCUUAGUAUUCUCUUAACGGCCUUCCAAUGUGCUGGACCUGGAUUGGAUUGGUAUCUACUCACCAUUCCAACUGCAAAACAUAUGUCGGGUCUUGUACACAUCAUAGCGUACAUCAAGCUCCCAACAGCACUUACAUAAGGAACAUGUUUCAUUUGUUCCUUCUCUUGUAGAGUCCUUGGACACAGUCUAUGGUUCAAUCCUUCACCUUUUGCAAUAGGAGUGUCUAUGGGUUUACAAUCCUGCAUACAAAAUCGUUCAAGAACCUUAUUUGUAUAGGUUUCUUGCGAAAGAGACAACGAUCUCUUCGAACGAUCUCUUGAAAUCUUAACUCCAAGAAUGUAUGUAGCCUCUCCCAUGUCCUUCAUCUCAAAGUUGGAAGACAACCAACUCUUGAUAGUCUUAACAAGCUCCAUAUUGCUUCCGGCAAUUAGUAUAUCAUCAACAUAUAAUGAUAUGAUCACAAAUUGAUCCUUGGAUCUUUUGAUAUAUACACAAUGAUCCUCAUCAAUCAUUGUAAAAUCAUAUGCCAUUAUGGCAUUAUGAAAACGUAUCGACCUCAAAAGUCGACAUACCUUUUCUUCUUGGCCUUUCACUAUGAAACCAGCAGGUUGUUCCAUAUAUAUUUCUUCCUCUAAUUCUCCAUUGAGGAAAGCAGUCUUUACAUCCAUUUGAUGUAACUCAAGAUCCAGACUAGCCACUAUUGCCAGAAUAAUGCGAAUCGAGGUAAAUCUCACUAUAGGAGAAAACGUAUCUUCAUAAUCAAUUCCUUCCUGUUGAUUAUACCCCUUCGCCACAAGGCGAGCCUUAUGCCUUUCAAUCGAGCCAUCAGCCUUUCGCUUUAUUUUGAGAACCCACUUGUUCCCAAUAGCUCUGCGUCCUUUUGGAAGAUUAACCAGUUCCCAGACUUGGUUUGAUUUCAUCGACUCCAUUUCCUCUUCCAUUGCAUUAAUCCAUUUUUCCUUACUAGGGCAAUUCAGAACCUCAUUUAUAUUUCUUGGCUCAUCCUCAUCUUGUGGAGCAAUCAUAAAAUUUUUCCCUUCAAUGUCAAAACGUCGACGGGGAAUACUUUGGCGACUUGUUCGCCGUAUGGGAGAUUGUACACUUAGCACAUCAUCCCCCAUCAUGCUCCCACUUGGAUUAGGUAAUGAUGAUGUCAUCUCAUGUGGUUGCAAUUGAGAAUUAGUUGAAUUCAAUUCAUCACUUCUCAUAUUACUCCCACUUGGACGAACUCCACUAACAUCAUUAUCCUGAUCCAAGGUCUCAAAUAGGGAACAAUCUUCCCCUAUUUCGCCCUUCUUAGGAAAUUCACCCUCUAAGAAUGUGACAUCUCGUGAUUCAAACUCAGUUAUACUUCCACUUUCUUGCUCACCUAUGAACACAUAUCCUUUCGAGUGUUCAGAGUAUCUUAUGAAAAUACUCUUCUUUCCUUUGGGACCCAAUUUCCCAAAUUUGUGAGAGGACUCAUGUGUAUAGGCGGCACAACCCCAUGGCUUAAGAGAACUUAAGUCCAGUUUUCUACCUGUCCAUAACUCAUAUGGAAUGGAAGUAACUGAUUUGGAAGGCACACGGUUAAGUAUAUAGGCAACAGUUAAUAAUAGGGGCGAGCACGGGUAGCGGGUAGAACCGCGAACCAGAGAACCGGAACCGGAACCUCGGUCCGGUUCCCGGUUCUUAAAGGACCGGUUCCGGUUCCCGGUUCCAUUUUUCCGGGAACCGGCAAUCCCGGUUCCGGUUCCGGUUUCAAGUGGAACCGGAACCGAAACCGGAACUGGCGCGGAACCGGAACCGGAACCGGCCGCGGAAUCGGAACCGGAACCGGCCACGGAACCGGAACCGGAACCUGUCGCGGAACCGGUUUCGGAACCGGUUAGGGUUCCAAAAGAACCCCCCCCCCCCGCUCGGCGCUCCAAGCCUCCAGCCUCCUGUCCUCUGUAUCUUCCUCAGUCCUUCGAUUUCAGCUGGACGCCGCUCGCCCUCAAGGCCACCGCCGCCGGACGCCGCUCGCCCUUAAGGCCACCGCCGUCGGACGCCACUGGUCUGGACUGGACGCCAGUCCCCGACGUCGCUCGACGCCCGCAUUCGCGACACUUGAGUCGUCGUUGCCCUAAAGACCCUGACUGACGUCCCUGCUCACUCCUCAGCGCCGGCCACCAUCGCCGAACGCCGCUCGACGCCCGUCGCUCUGCUCAGCGCCGGCCACCGUCGCCGAACGCCGCUGGACGCCAGUCCCCGACGUCGCUCGAGCCUCGACGCCCGCAUUCGCAAAUCGCCAGAAGCUGACCGACCUUGACCGACGUCCCUGCUCGUGACCGGCCGUUGCCCCAAAGACCCUGACCAACGUCCUUGCUCGUGACCCACGCCACUCACGCCAAAAGCCCCGAUGCCCCUGCUGCUGCAACGAACCAAAAGCCACUGCUUCGCCAUUCCCGUUCGGCACCAGGUUCCCUCUCUCUUUCUCUGCAACUGAGCAUGCGUUCGUGAUUGCGCUUCAGUUCCGGCUCGCACGCACUGCUUGGUGGGACCGAUUGUUUCGUAAUCGAUUGCAAGUGGGUGUUUAUCUGAUUGCCGAAACGCUUCGGGUGCUUGUGGAAUUUCUGGGUUCUACCUCCGCGGGGCUGGGUUUGCGCUUUGUAAUGGAACUUGUUGCAUGACUCAUUUUGGGCUUUUUUCCUUAUUGGAAGCUGAAACUUCGUUUUUGCGUUGUGGGUUCUUCUGGAAAAGAGAAAUUGGUUUAGUUGGUGAAGUGUUGACGCUUUCUCUGUGAGAGUCUCGCGCGUCCGGGUUGACUGCUUGGUGGGACCGAUUAUUUUGUAAUUGAUUUCAACUGGGGUGUUUAUCUGAUUACUGAAACGCUUCGGAUAGUUGCAGAAAUUUCGAGGGUCUGCCUCCGCGGGGCUCGUUCGUGCUUCCCGUUAUGCGUGUAAUGGAGCUUGUUGCAUGACCCCUUUUGGGCUUUUUUCCUUACUUGAAGCUGAAACUUCGAUUUGGGUUGUGGGAUCUUCGGGAAAAGAGAAAUUGGUUUAGUCGGUGAAGUGUUGAAGCUUUCUCUUUCUCUGCAAGAAUCGUGCGCUUCUGGGUUGAGAUUAAUGAUGCUUCCCUUAUUGAACUUUGAAAUCCGAGUCUCGCAUUCCAUUGUUGUAUUGUUUAUCUGAUUACCGAAAUGCUUCAGGUACUUGCAGAAAUUUGAGGGUCUACCUCUGCCAGGCUGGUUUUGCGCUUCCUUUUCCGCAUGUAAUGGAACUUGCUGAAUGACCCAUUUUGGGCUUUCCUUAUUCGAAGCUGAAACUUUUUUUGCUUUGUGGGUUCUUUGGGAAAAGAAAAGUUGGUUUGGUUGGUGGAGUGUUGACGCUUCCCAGUUGAGAUUAGUGUUGUUUUCGCUUAUUGGACUUUGAAACCCGUGUCUUGCAUUCUGUUGUUGUUGUCUUGUUUUUAUGUAUCCUUUGUUGCGAUUUGGAUCUGAAUUUCUUCCGAUUGUAGUUUUUAAAACACAUGCUGGGACAACUGUAUGGCCACAAAUAAGGGCAUAUUUGAAUAAAUCUUUUGCAUUUGUAUUGAUAAUAUGAUAUAGUCCUAAAGUUGUGUAUUGAUUUGAUUUUUAGCAAUUGCUUGCAUAUUCUAUAACUCAAUUCGCAUUAUGUUUUGAAUUUUCUAAUUAUAUUAUAUUAUUGUUGUGUAGUGCGGAAUUAAUGUAUCAAGAUAACACGUCAAUGGAGGUGGAGGGACGUGAGGAGAUGACUCCGGGUAUGGAAUUUGAGUUUUCUGGCAAUGAAAUUGAAGAAGAUGCACCCCCUACCUUGAGUGCCACAAAUAAGGUAUCUGAUUCUCAUGAUAAGAAAUAUACAUCUGAAUGUUGGAAUCAUUAUUCGAAAAUCAGUGAUAAGGAUGGAAAAAUAUAUCAAGUGAAAUGCAUUCAUUGUGGGUCUAUACUUAAGUACCGUGUUACUAAUGGUACUUCUGCAAUGAGGAAGCACUUAAACACAUGUAAGAGGUUUCCUCGUAAUCUAGAUAAGAGGCAGAAAUUCUUUGUACCACAUAAUGUCAACACGGCUGGUAAGGCAGGAGGAGAUUCAAGUACUGGUAGCGUCUUAUCGACAUGGUCAUUUAAUCAAGAACGAGCUAGGCACAUGCUUGCUCGGUUUAUCAUCAUUGAUGAGCAACAUUUUUCCUUGGUUGAACGUGUUGGAUUUCGUGAAUAUGUUAGUGAGAUACAACCUCUCUUCAAACAUAUAUCACGUUUCACAGUGGCAAAAGAUUGUAUGAAGUUGUUUUUAUGUGAAAGAACUUCUUUGAAGAAUUAUUUUGGAAAGAUUAAUUCUAGGAUCGCACUCACGACUGAUACAUGGAGUUCCAAUCAAAAUCUGAAUUAUUUGUGUCUCACUGCACAUUUUAUUGAUGAAAAUUGGAAGUUGCAUAAAAGAAUCAUCAAUUUUGUGGUGAUGCAUAGUCACAGGGGUAGGGAGAUUGGGAAAAUGGUGGAGACAUGCAUUGAGGAGUGGGGAAUAGAAAAAAAGGUGUCCACAAUUACCGUGGAUAAUGCUAGCUCGAAUGAUGUUGCAAUUGGCUAUUUGAGGGAUAAACUUUCCAAACAAAUGUCGUUGAUAUUAGAUGGUAGUGUUUUGCAUAUGAGAUGUACAGCUCAUAUAUUAAAUUUGAUUGUGAGAGAUGGCUUGACUACGGUACGUGACUCUAUUGCACGUAUCUGAAAUGUGGUUAGGUAUGUAAAGAGUUCUCCCACAAGAGCCCAAGGAUUUAAAUCUUGCAUUGAGAGAGAAAAGAUCACUUAUAAGGGUUCGGUAGUUCUUGACGUUGCCACUAGAUGGAACUGCACUUACCUCAUGUUGGACACCGCCAUAAAGUUCAGAAAAACUUUCGAAAGGAUGGAAGAUCACGAUUCAUCUUUUGUAAGUGAGCUAAAUCAUGAAACUCCUAGGGAUGAUGAUUGGGAAAAUGCUAUUAUUCUUUUGAAUUUUCUGAAAGCAUUCUAUAAUGCCACCAAGAAGAUGUCUGGGACUUCAUAUGUUACUUCAAAUGAUCAUUUUGAAGGGAUAGCUAUUUUGUAUAGAUAUUUGAAAGAUGCGGUCAAUGCUUCGGAUCCUAAGCUUCAAACUAUGGGUUUGAAAAUGAAAGAAAAAUUUGACAAAUAUUAUGGAAGCUUGGAUAAAGUGAAUAUUAUGGUGUUGAUUGCGGUUGUGUUAGAUCUUAGAGCCAAGUUAAAUUAUGUGAGAUUCUUGUAUGGACAAAUUUAUGAUGAUGAAUUGAAGAUUGAAGAGAUGCAUUGCAAGGUGAAGAGUGCAUUGGAGCAUUUGUAUGAAUUUUAUGAGCAAUCUUCUCUUAUUUCAAAUGAUCAAGAUUUUGGUGGCCAUAAUUUGGGUGCAAGUAGUAGUAGUUCCACUUCCCAACCCGAUACGGGUGGUAGUAAAGUACUAAAGAUGCAUGAAGCCCAAGAUUGGAAGAAAAUGUUUUUAUACUCGAAUGAACAAGGGCGCGAUGAUAACAAGUCCGAGCUUGAUGAGUAUCUUCAAGAAAAAAAUGAAAAGGAUCUCAGUCUUGACAUUUUGAUUUGGUGGAAGGCUAAUGGUUCAAAAUAUAAGAUCCUUUCUUUGAUGGCUCGAGAUAUUUUGUCCAUUCCUGUAACAACCGUUGCUUCAGAGUCAACUUUUAGUACAUCGGGUCGUGUGCUUGAUGGCUUUCGAAGUUCUUUAACUCCUAAAGUAGUGGAAGCUUUGAUUUGCACUCAAGAUUGGUUAAGGACCGCUCGUGUACCGCUUGGUGAUGAAGAGUGUAUCGAGAACGCAGAACAAUUUGAAUUAAGUAAGUAAUGUUUAUAUCUUUAUAUAUUAUAAUUCUUUUUGUAUAUUUGAUAAGUGAAUAUUUUAUUUAACCUCUUCUUUUUCUUUUUUCAGAUAUGGUUGGCCUUAAUGCGGAGAUUAUUGUUGAUAAAUAGAGUUGGUGGUGUCGCAACAGCAAUGGAUUUAGCGGUAGAGAAUUCAAGCAAGGUUUUUUAUUAACUUUGUGCUGCUUUAACUAUAUUGUCAAAGAGUUUAUGAGCCUUUAAAUGAUUGUUGUGAUCUCACCAUUGAUAAGUUUAAUGCAUGGAAAAACAUUGUUGUCAAAGAGUCUAUGUUUUGUUUUAUUGUUUUCAUAGCUCGGGAAGUAUAUUUAUGGCAUGAUUUUGAUGUUAAGAGGAUUAUUGCGACAGUGCUAAAGAGUCCGAUAAUAUGCGCAUAUGUUAUUUUUAUUCAUUUUUAGAGUGCGUAUGUUAUAAUUUAACUCUAAAAAUGAAUAAUAGAAAAAAAAAAAAAACUGUUGGCAUUGGUAUGUUUGCUAAGAUGUGAGAAGUUACCGUAUAGUAUAUGCGUACGUAAUAGUUUUUUUUGGUAACACGCGCAUACGUUAUAUUUUUUUUUUGGUAACGUGCGCCCACGUUAUAGUUUUUUUUUAUAACGUGCGCGCACGUUAUAGUUUUUUUUGAUAACGUGCGCGCACGCUAUUUUUUUUUUUUUAUAACGUGCGCGCACGCUAUUUUUUUUUUUUUAUAACGUGCGCGUACGUUAUAUUUUUUUUGAUAACGUACGCGUACGUUAUAAUUUUUUUUGAUAAUGUGCAUGUACGUUAUAUUUUUUUUUGGUAACGUGCGCGUACGUUAUAAUUUUUUUUUUUUGGUAAUGUGCGCAUACGUUAUAAUUCAAAUCUAUAAAUAAAAAUAAAAACAAAAAAAGGAACGCGGAACCUGUUGGAACCUGGAACCGACCCUGGAACCUGUGACAGGGUAGGUUCCAAGUUCUCGGUUCUAACGGGUAGGUUUCAGGUUCCUCAUUUUGAGGAACCUGUACCCGAGGGUAGUUUCCAGGUUCCAGACGGAACCAAACCGGAACCUGGAACCGCUCACCCCUAGUUAAUAACACAUCACUCCAAAAGGUAAUAGGUAAGUUAGCAUGCGCCAUCAUGGAUCUAACCAUUUCCAUUAGGGUUCUGUUUCUUCUCUCCGCAACACUAUUUUGUUGAGGAGUAUAUGAAAUGGACAACUGUCUUUCUAUUCCUUUUUCAUCACAUAAUUUUCUGAACUCAUCAGAUAAAUAUUCUCGACCUCGAUCGGAUCUCAAUACUUUUAUUUUCUUGUCUAAUUGAUUCUCUACCAGGUUCAUAAACCUUUUAAAACAACUUAUUGCUUCAGAUUUAUGAGAAAUCAAAUAGACAUAUCCGAAUCGAGUAUAAUCAUCAAUAAAAGUGAUGAAAUAAACAGCCACAUGCCUUCCUUUCACAUUCAUUGGACCACAGACAUCAGAAUGGAUUAAAUGCAGAGGAAAUUUAGCUCUUUUUCCCUUUCCAAAUGGUUUCCUUGUCGUUUUCCCUUCUAGGCAAUGCUUACAUAUGGACAAAUCGACUUUUUCAAUAUUGCCCAACAAGCCCUCUUUUGCUAGUCUAUUCAUACGCUGUUGGCCAAUGUGACCAAGUCUAGCAUGCCACACAUUCACAUCAUUAUCAUAUGUAUUAGGAGACGUGAGAAGGGAAUAACAAACAUUAGCAUUAACAUAAUCAAUAUCUAAUACAAUAAAACCAUCCAGAAAAUAACCACAACCAUAGUAAUUUGUAUCCAAAAACAAAUUCACACAUCUACUAUAGAAGUUCAUAUUAAAACCUAAUUUAACCAACACUAAUACAGACACUAAAUUCCGACGAAUCUCCGAAGCAUACAACACAUCAUGAAGGAACAAAGUGCGUCCACCACGCAUAUUCAGUUGGCAUGUGCCAAUUCCUUUCACUUCAGCUCUGGAGUUGUUUCCCACAUAGAUCCACUUAGUUCCAGUUAAUACUUGUCGGAAUUCCACGAAGGAUCCUAUAUCCUUCGCUAUAUGGUCCGUCGCUCCUGAAUCCACAGUCCACAAAGGAUUAGACUCAGUUAAGAACACAAAACUCGACACAAAAGUAAAGUUUUGAAAAGUACAAGGAGUGCAUACCUUCUUUGGCUCACGACAGUCGCGAGCAUAGUGACCAUUCUUGUCACAGUUGUAGCAUUUCACCCUUGCAAGCUUUUUCAUGCGGGGACGAUUCCCUCUUUCAUGUUGGUUAAACUUGGGUUUCUUCCCUGAAGGACCUGCUUCUUCCUUACCUUUUCCCUUAUCAAACCAGUUAUGGCGCUUGCACUUGGAGCUCAAAGCUCCAUUUGAGCUAGAACUAGCAUGAUAGAGUUCAGCAUCCGGCUUAGCCGCCAACAGGCGGUCCUCUUCCAGCUCAAGAUGACGCAUUGCAUCCUCAAAGGUUUUGAUAUUUUAAUUGUGAGUUAGGUGCACCUUCAUGUGCUCCCAACUCUGAGGCAAGGAACAAAUCACUGCUUGCACCUGCUGCUCAUCUGUGAGGACAUGGCCAUCAUCUUUCAGCUCAGUUAUCAUGUUUGACAUCUUUCUAAGAUGUUGCUUCAUGGUUUGACCAUGAGGCUUCUUAUAAGAGUCAAACCUGAUAGUGAGCUACCUCAGUCUAGUCACCGAAGUAUGACCAAAUCUAGCUGCCAAUGCCUCCCACAUUUCCUUGGCAUUGUCAAAACGCCGAAACUCUCGCAUGACGUCAUUUUCCAUGCUGCUCAACAACGUGAUGCGAGCUAGAGAGUUCUUUAUUUUCCACGCAGAAAAAGCUUCUUUGUCUCUUUUGUGCUGUGCAGUGGUUCCCUCUUCAGGUUCUACCAUGGUCAGGUUAAGAGCCUCAAGUGCUUCUUGCUCUUCCAGCACAUAUUGGAUUUUCAUUUGCCAAAUUUCAUAGUUAUCACCAUUGAGCUUUUCACCUUUGUUCAGCUCGGCAACUAUGCUCUUUAUGGCUGAAGCCAUUGAUCUGAACAAAUCAGACAAAUAUGCACGAAUUAUUAAUGCCUAUCAUUUAUGCAUCCCUAUUUACAUAGACCCAUCAUAUUAAUGAAUAAUUUCAAGUAAGGUUUCAGAUUCAAAAGAUCACUAUGUUUCCAAUCAUCCUCCAAAAUCCUAACUUAAAACUAUCAUCAAUAUAAUUGUCUUAUGCAAAAUCAAUUUUAUGAAGCUACAAAAACUUCUAAAACUACCCACAGCUAAUUACCCACAGCAACCAGCAAUAACAGAAAGCAACAUAUAAUAGAUAUCUAAUAAAACAAUAAUGCUUUCAAUUAACACAAUUAGGUAGUAAUCAUUACAUAAUAUGUCCACAAAUCACACUUAACAUAUAUCAGCUAAUACAACUAACACCAAGUCAGCACACGAACUGGGAAAGAUCCUCUUUUGUUCAAUUUCUUGAUAUUUUCCCUUGAAACAAUAAAGUAAUAUUCAUUUACAAAAUCCAUCACAAUUUUCUUAUAGGAAGCAGCUCCGUUGACAUCCCAUAUGCGAUUCAACACAUCUUGCCAUUCAGGUGGAAGAGUGUUUAUGAGAAAUCGCACCAUCUCUGACUAUGACAUAGGACGACCAUUCCAUAUGACCUGUUGAAUCUUCCCGUUGACUUCAAGGACGUGAUCAAUUAAGUCACCACUCUCCCGUCGAUGAUUAGUCAGCUCAGCUAUCAACUUAGACAGCCUAUCCUUUUGUUCAUCGGUAAUUGCGCGAAUAGGUGUGCGCAAUCUCAGAGAAUGCAUUGUUCCUGCAACAAAUGCAGAACAAAUAAGGGAUCACAUUAUAAUCCACAUAGACUUAAUUGAAAAAGAAACACAUUCUUUUCCUUUUCCCUUUUUUUUUUUUUUCCGGGUCAACGGUCAACGGUCAACGGUGGUCAACGGUCAAUGGUCGUCAAUCGUCGGUCGUCGGACCGGUUCGAGCGAACCGGCGGCACGUGCCGCACGCGUGCACGGGAUGACGUCACGCAGACGUCAGCCGGCACGUGCGGCGCGCGUGCCAACGUCCUCGGGUCGGGUUGGGUCGCCGGUCGGGUCGCCGACCGGUGGCCGCCCCGGCGAAACGUCAUCGUGCUGACGUCAUCAAUGACAUCACCCUAGUGGUUAUUGACCGUUGGGUGACGUCAUGAUGACGUCAGCACACGUCGGUCCGCGGACCGGCGCGUGCCGGUUCGCCGGCCAGCGGUGCGCAGGCGCUAGUUCGCCGACCGGCGCGUGUGCCGCACGCGCCGGGCGAGCCAUCGCUUCCGGGCGCGUUGCGCCCACGCGCAGCGGCUUCUGGCCACUCGUGUAGGCGCGUGCGGCGUCUCCCGGCGGCGCACAACGUACCUCCAGACUCGUCUCGACAUCGCCUUUCUCCCCAUGUAUUCAGAAAACGAUUUGGACUUACGAAAACUCAGAAAAAUGGCCGAAGAACGCUCAGGUGUCGGGAUUUCUCGCCCCGAUCCGUACGGCCGAAUUGCUUUUGCGAAAAAAUCAAUCAAAAAAUGUCAAACAAGUCGGGAAACGUGAACUAGGGCUCUGAUACCAAUGUUGGGAAUGACUGAUCCCCGAAAACCGGAUUCGACACUAAAUCGAACCCCUAAAUCAAUGCGAAAGACGAAGCCCGGGAAUGACAUGUAUCACCGAUCCUAAAACACACCACGGAUUCGAGCGUACCUUGUUAGCCACAGAUUAGACACCGACGCUGAUAGAGGAAGAGAAUUUGUCCCUUGUUCGAUCCGAUGACGCCUUAAAGGGAAGACAGUGUCGCCGUUUGCUUACUGUUUGUUUUAGGAGGGAGAGAGCGUUGGAGAGAAGAAGACAUACGUUUUUCCAAAACGUUAUCAUCUCUCUCUCUCCUCCCUUUUAUACCUUCCCCAUCCACAGGCCCUAUUCCCGUGGGCCGGGCCUUUUGGGCCCAGCAUGGGCGGACGGGCCUUAAGCCCAUCACCAAUUAAAACCAUCAACUUUGAAUACAUUAGUCUCCAGCUCCUGGCCGGAUCAAGACGGCCGUUAAUUUUUAUUCUGCUUCUAACGUCUGUGUUGUCGUUUAUUUAAUGGUGAAUGAUGUCGAACUAGUAGAGUUGGAAGCAAAGUCGAAUGGGAGACAUGGGGACCCGCCUUCGAUCUGUCUACACAACAUAAGGUUCAUCAUUUUAAUGAAAAUCAUCAAUAACAAUGCUCAGAAGAACAAGAUUUUCCACAUAUAGUACGUGGUCAAAAGUUAUUCUAUUUAAACAAACCAAUCACCUUACAAAAAAUUAUGAAAAAUUAUGAUAUUGAUACUAUCUAUUUCAAUAAUAUAUAUAUAUAUAUAUAUAUAUAUGUGUGUAAUAUAUAUAUAUAUAUAUGUGUGUGUGUGUGUGUGUGUGUGUUUAAGCUAGUUGUGUCUCUUUUAAAGUGAUUGAUUAGAUCACCACAUCAUGAUUAACGCGUAACUCAAUACAUUUAUUUUUCCAAUGCAAAUUAAAAUAAUUUUAUGGCGAGGUGUGCUUGUCAACUAGUUUAUAUAAAUUGCCAAAUACUAGGGAUAUUUAAUGUGUUCCGAUAUCAACUAAGCAAGGAGGCAUUUGGACCGGGCCACCUGCACCUACACAUGAAUAGAAACCUGCCUCAUCUCCACAACAUUUGACUACUGAUUGUAGUAAUUUAAGGGAUGUUAUAAAGUAUAUCAACUAGCUAUAAUUAUUUGUUCUUUGAAAUUAGGAAAACCCAUUCUGGAUAAGUGUAAUAGUCUUUGUUCUCUAUCGAUCUCCUAAAAAUUAAGCAUAGGUAGGCUAGAAAAGUAAUAUGGUUUAAUGAUGAAUGGACCAUGAGUCAUCACCUUCACAAGUUCACCAACCUGAGGAAAGAGGCAAUUCAUGCACCUAGGUAGAUUGAGCCGUUCCUAAUUAAGUUACACAUUAAAAAGAAAAGGAGUUUUGGUAUAAACUAUUUAUAGGGUAGGGAAGGGAUAGAUCAAGCUAAUCUCAGUUAAUAAGACAUUUCAGUCACGUAUCUGUUGACAAAAUUUAAUCGAGUCUAAUUGCUCUUUGAUCUACGAUUGACUUAAUAGAUUUCAGUAUAGUGAGUCCAAACAAUAGUUUCCUCUCAAUGUUUUAUAUCAAUCAUUAUGAUGAAUUCAAGAUUCUUUUUUAAUUGUAAUAAUAUUGAGUAGAAUGGAAAAAAAAAAUCGAAUUGGAAUUAGUUGAAGACGAUAUUCACUUGGCUCGCGGGCUACAAGAGUGAGUUUAAGUAUGACUCUUAGACUCACAUUCAUUAAAAAAAAAAAUAAUAAUAAACCUGAUGAUGUUGAGUUUUCAAUGAACUACAUAUAUUAAUUAUUUUCUAUCGCAUCAAUUAUUCAAAUGAUACUCUAGUUCUCGAUGGUCUUCAAUAAUAGUAUACAAAAGUACAGUAAAGUAAUACGAACAAUGUAUGCUUGUCAUUUCAUAAUGCACACGUCAACACAAUAUUAUACUCCGAUUGUUUUGCAAAAAAUUAACGAUCUCUAAAAUAUUUGUUAACUUUAACCAUUGUUAUUACUUAAAAAAAUGAGUUAAUGAAAAUAUUUCGAAGAGAUAUAAAUGACCAAAUUUAGGGAAAAAAAUUUCAGAUCAGUGAUUUGUCACCAAAUAAAUGGAAAUCGAGGUUUGCAGAAAAAAUCGACUAUAGAGGUAUGGCAGAGUGCGCGUCCAUGUUCACAACAUCGACAACCAACGUUCACUCCAUUUGUUUACCUUCCGAAACGACAAAAUGAACUAAGAAUAAUCAAAUGUUGGAGAUACUCUCAAGUUCAAAAAUAAAUUAAUGAAGGUUGACGCCUUUUUUUUAAUAUCUUUUCUCUUCCAUUAACUAGAAAAACUGUCACCGAAUAGGUCUAGGAGACAUAGGAAGACAAUAUGUUCAUAAAAUAACUGUCUUAAACUAAUUUGUUUGUUCUAAGCAUUUGUCGGAAGUCUCUGUUUUUCUUCUUUUUUUUUUCGGCUUUUUCUGGUAAUGAACCAGUGAAGAUCGAGUUUUUUGUCUUCUUAUUUAAGGCAAUGUGAAAAAUACAUGCAUCAGCCUCGAACUUUUAAAUUUUGAGUGUCGUCGAAGAUACUCUUGCCACAAGUGGGGCUUAACAAUUGUUUUUCAAGAAGUGAUUUUUUCAAGGAUAAAUACAAAAGUCAUUCUCAAUUUUGCACCGCGUAUUAAAUACCAUCCUCGCGUCUUAGAAUAUACAUUUUGCAUCUCCCAGGCUAAACGGAUCUAUUCGCCUCAUACGCACCCAUAAUCUAUACCCUUUCUCAUUUCCCACUCUCUUUCCCUACCCUUUUCUCUCUCCUCACACACAAAGCACAGCAAGUAGCGGUAAAAAUAAUUAUCUAAAAAGUCCUAAACCUAUUAUAGGACAACCAAUUCAGUCUUAAACCUCUUAAUUGUGUUAAAUGAGUCUUAAACGUUUCAAUUGUACUAAUUUAGUCUUAAACAUUUUGACGAUUUAUCAAUUUAGUCGGUUUAGCCAAAAACCUUCCGAAGAUUUGCCAGUUCAUUCCUAAACUUAUUAUAUGAAUAUUUGGUUAGGCAGACUACAUUAGCAAAUUUUCAAAAAAUUUAUGACUAAAUUGGCAAAAUUAAAAAAGCUUAUAACUAAAUUGGCAAAUUGUCAAAAAGUUUAAGACGAAAUUAGCACAAUAAAAAUGUUUAAGACCGAAAUAGCCUCCGCACAAUAGGCUUAGGGAUCUUUAGACAAUUCUUCCAGUCAUAGUGUGAGAGUCACCACAGCACCAAGCUAUCGUGGAGCUGCCAAUGACAUCCUCAACCACCACCGCCACCUCUUUCCCCACAUCUAUGUCUUUGUCUGUGGCGGGAUUGUUCGCCGCUCACAAUGCCGAGUAGCUUAGCUUGAGCCCGAGGCUCACGAUCCAAGGCCAUGCGAGCUCGUCAUCGAGCUCACUAGGGUCAUGACUGCAAGCCUCUGUAACAAGCUCAAAAGCAACACAAGCUCUGCUAUGGAGCUCCGUCAUGGCCGCUAGAUCAAGGUCGUGCGAUCUCAAUCUGGCCAUAAGCUAGCGGCUACAGCCUCCGAGGGAACAACGGCGACACACGUAAUGGAGAGGGGGAGACGUGGUGGUGAGUAUGUGAUGCGGGAGCAUCCAACGUAGCUCUAUCGAUCAACUCAGAACCAUCGAUGCAUUCUUGAAUCACUCACUCCAUCACACAUCAGUAUGUUGGACUGAGCAAGCCCCUCAGCCGCGGGAGAGGAAGUGCGGGCAUAUGUUGGGUUUUUUGGAGGUAGGCUAGCUUGGAAAAUAAAUUGACAACUUGGUAAAUUAUGUGUGGGCGAGUGAUAUAAAUUGAAAAUCAUUGUAAUAUCUUAGAGUAAUAGUUGUAGGUUUGAAGUAUGAAAAGAGUAUUUGAUAUGCAAAGUAAACACAAUAUGCUAAUUGUUAGGUCCAUCAAUGUAUCAAAAGUUUCACAUAUUUACCACUUGAUAAUUGACAUGAAUAUUUGAAAAUAACAACGUAAUCAAAUCUUUUUAUGCAUCAAUCAGUCAAUUCUUACCUCGACAAUGGACAUAAUGAGAAUCCUGUUGUAAUAUAUAAUAUAAUACAAUAUGCAAUAGCGAGUGUCUGGUUUGGUGUUCAAGUGGACGUUUCAGCUCAUGCAUGAUUGAAGACUUUCUUGACCAAUAGGUGCACCUAACACGUUUGGAAUCUUGUGCAGAAAGUUGCCCUUUUUCAAUUAAACAGUGGAUGGAUUGAUUCCAUCGUUUAGCACGUACACUUCCUUAAAAAAAAAAAAAAAAAAACAAGCCACGUCAUCUUUAAAAUGACAAACUCAGCGAUUAACCUCGAAUUCUUGAAUUUUAUCAUUUCAAAUAAAUAUAAACCCACGUUGAAACCGACAUCACCGAGACAUCUUGCACAUUAAUUAAGAGUCCAAUUUGAACUUGGAAGCAACGGCAAAUCCGAGCGCCCAAGGAAUCCCGUACUUUCCUAUUCGGGCUUCUACAAACUUUAAUGUGGUCCCGUUUCGGAUACGGAGCUAAAGACGUGAGACAUAUGUCAACUGCGGAGAUGAUGGUAGGAGUUGCAGGUAAACGCAUGGGAAGCAGGCAUGAUGGAACGAGGAAAUAGAGGUGGGGGUCAGUAUGGCUUCAAGGUAGAAUUAGUUUCAAAUUUCAGAGUUAUAGGAUAACUUCUAGAUUUUAAAAAUUGAGGAAUCUAUUUCUAUGGACUUGAAACUUGGAACGAGUUUUUAUAUUUUUAUUGUUCUAUGUCUUCGCGUAAUUCUGCGAUAUUCGAUACCGUUGAAUGAUAAGUGUGUAAUCUGGAAUCACUAAUUUGAGCUUCUAUUUCUAGUAUUUUCUUUGAUUAAGACUUUUAUUUCAUUAAUAUUUCAUAUUCUACAAAUGUCUAAAUAUGAAUUGUAGUCACUGGAUUAUAGAAGUAAAUGGUGAAGUAAAUGGUGAUCGAUAAAGAUGAUUAUUCACUAUAAUUGUUUAACUAAUAAUACGUGUCGAAUCUUGGUAAACCCUGAAAACUUUAAUAGGAUAGGUUCCAGAUUUUGAAGUGUGCAAAGCAGGUUCCAAAUUCCAAAAAUUUGGAAAACGUUUUCAACGGGUAGGUUCUUGAUUCUAGGUAGAAUCUGAACCGACCUCAAAAUCGCUCGCGUCUAAAUGAAGGAGACUUUGUCAGUAACUAUAGCAACCAGUAGCGGUAGUGAUUUUUCGAUGGAGCGAUGGCUCAGGAAUGUUUGGGCCCAUGCCUCAUGGAUUGCUCUUGCCGUGCGGGUAGUCUAUUGUGAAUUACGACAAGAUCCACGAUUGUUGGGGCGUGACAUUAGUGAGAAUCAAAAUCUCAAAUAGAGGAGGAGAGCAUGAAGGUGUUUCAACAACCCUGUCUUCAAAUAUCAGACAAUGAACUUAGAAGAUUGGACAGUAACAAAAAGGAUAGUCACUCGGUACCUCUUGUAGUUCAUAUCACGAUACUAUUUUCUAGCUUCUGCUAAUUCGAUGCAAUUUUUUUCCAGCUUGGACUAGGGGCUUUAGUACUGGCAAUACCACGAGAUCUUUAGCAGGCCUAUUCGAUCCAGACCAUACGCGAGCACAUAAUUAUCCCCGAUUUGCUUGCACAAGAGCAUCGUAAUAUCAUAUACUGACACAGUGAUCAGAACGCUAAAGAGCUACCAUAUUAAGGAUUGAGAUUACACUAACAAAGGCCAUAAGAUAUAAAUGUAAGCUUAUUUUAUUGAAAUAUUUCAAUCCAUGAACACCUUUGCCUUGGUUCUAUUGCAAAAGCGAUCCUUCCACCUAAAGACUGGGGCAAGACUUCCACAUGCCGUUAGAUGUACUGAGAGUUAUUCGCGUGGUAAUAUUUCGUUGUGUUAUAAUUUAGUGUUUUGCAAAUUCUUCCUCGCAUCUAUUCUAUGCUAAUCGAGUCAUUCGGUACAAUGGAGUACUUCCACCACUUCACAUUAGUAGCUCCUCUAAUUCGUUCGCGCAACGACGGCAAACAAUGUGAAAACAUCAUCGUUUUAUGGCACAUAUCAGAGGUAAUCAUGGGCUCGGCGGCCUAUUAGGCUCGGUCAUCCCACAAGGUGAAAUGGGUGAAUUUGAGCAAGCAAUUCCCUUCUCAAGCCCGGCCGUCCUGUCGGAUCAUUUUUAUUUUCAUCAGGGACAAACUUGGAGAAGAGUCUUCCUAGACUCGACAUUUAAUCCUACCUGCUCAGUGGUCAGAUCUAAGCUCUCCUAGACGAUCUCUAGGGAGGUUAACCAUUUUCCCUCCCUACUUCUUCUCCCCUUUCCACCAAACGGAGGGGCAAGAAGGAAAAGGACAAAGGAAAGAUGAUGAUCUGCCUUGGACGAUGACAACUAAGAACAGCUACGCAAUUUGACUUGGAGCUGAGAACUUGGCCGAACGUGAGGCCACUACUGCGACAUGAAUCCUGAGUCUUAAAAGAGAUUAACUUGCAUUUCUUAGAGAUGUCGUAUCCACUCAAAAAGGACUAUAUGAUGUAGAUCAUCUGAACCGUUAAUUAUGUUGGCCACUUUGUAGGAAUCGCAUAAUCAGUGGUUCCAAUGAUAUUGAUCCAUAAGAUAUAUACACCGUGUAAUAACGUCUAGAUAUUCACCAUAUAUGUAUUAUGUAGUACAUAUAUUCCAGGCAUAUUGAAACAAUGCAAACUAUCUUGAUUGACCCUAUGUCCUUUCUAUAUCAAUGAAAGCCACCUACCAAAGAUGAAAUCGAUCAUUUCAAAGCAAAGUCGCCAUGACUUGCCCAAUCUUAGCUAUUAUGAUCAAUCUCAUUCGAUUCGACAUAUCAAAGUAGUUUGAUUUGCACAAUUUGGGGAACCAUUCAUAUUAGCUUGGGUUAUAUCGGCUUUUGUUCAGCACCUAAUCGUUUGACUACUCGUCUCUGGAGGUCACAUUCUUCAAUUCAUUUCUCAACCACCAAAGAAUCUCAAGCAGAAAAAUCAAGAUUUGAAUUAUAGCUUGACGUGCUCGUGAUCUCAAAAAAAGUUCAGAACGAAACGGAACAUCUUCGUUGAUAUGAUUUAUGAGUACUAUACAUUCUUCCUCUUUUUUUUCCCUUCUGCAAAGAAAGGUAAAUUCAGCAAACACCACGCCAAGUUUAGACACACAACAUGAGAGACCCAAACGAAAGGAUACUUCUACGUGGUGAUUCUGCAAGAAAGGGUUUCCAAGUUUGGGGGCUGAUCAAUAGCUUGCUCUCUACAAGGCCUGACCAGAGCUUCCAAGCUCCUCAAUUGACUCAUGAGCUGCUUAUAAACGGCAAGCCUCACUUUCGAAAUCAUCAGCGCCACCCUCUUCCUCGACUUCUUCAACCGCCGCCCGAUCUUCACCUUCAACCGGCAGAACCUCACUCUCAGGAGCGAAGGCCUCCUCCGAGCAUCGGCUCGUGCCAACACCUUGUAGAUCAGGAACUGCGCUUUCCGGUGCUUUUUCUCUUCUGGGUCCUCGAAAUCCAUCCUUGUGUAUGCAUUCGGCUUCUUGAAAAGAGCCAUGGUCGGUCCUUCGGAUCGAGCUUUUGGAGGUUGAAGAGAAGGGAGUGUGUUUUGGAGGAG